rnacentral:tRNA from 1 species
GCUUGGCUGGCUUAGUCAGUAGAGCAUGCGGCUCUUGAUCUCAGAAACAUGAGUUCAAGCCCCAUGUUGGGCU